UGUUUACAGUGACAAUACUGUAGGGCAGAUGC
rnacentral:piRNA from 1 species